UACAGAGGGUGCAAGCGUUGUCCGGAAUCACUGGGCGUAAAGGGCGCGUAGGUGGCCUGAUAAGUAGGAGGUGAAAUCCUGGGGCUUAACCUCAGGGCUGCCUUCUAGACUGUCCGGCUCGAGCACAGUAGAGGCAGGUGGAAUUCCCGGUGUAGCGGUGAAAUGCGCAGAUAUCAGGAGGAACACCGAUGGCGAAGGCAGGUCUCUGGGCAUUAACUGACGCUGAGGAGCGAAAGCAUGGGGAGCGAACAGG
rnacentral:rRNA from 1 species